CGGAGCGUAGCGCAGCCUGGUAGCGCAUCUGNNUCUGGUUUGGGACCAGAGGGUCGCUGGUUCGAAUCCAGUCGCUCCGACCA
rnacentral:tRNA from 1 species